CGGCUUCUUUUCAAAAUAAAACACUCCGUGUUUCAGGAGGAUCAUAUUUCACACCAUGCAAACGGGCGGAGACGAACAAGUGAAAGGUUUUUAGACGUCAUUUCACCCCGAUGACACCAUGGAUGAGGAGAUGCUGAUUCUAGAAGUCUAGAAGUAGAUUUCCUCCUCUGGAAGGACACAAUCUACUGCUUAUAUGGUUAGCCUCUGUGGCUAAGGACAACUUGUUAUCGCGCGAUUGAACGUGA